rnacentral:rRNA from 1 species
GGAGCAUGUGGUUUAAUUCGAUGCAACGCGAAGAACCUUACCUACUCUUGACAUCCAGAGAAUUCGCUAGAGAUAGCUUAGUGCCUUCGGGAACUCUGAGACAGGUGCUGCAUGGCUGUCGUCAGCUCGUGUUGUGAAAUGUUGGGUUAAGUCCCGCAACGAGCGCAACCCUUAUCCUUGUUUGCCAGCACAUAAUGGUGGGAACUCCAGGGAGACUGCCGGUGAUAAACCGGAGGAAGGUGGGGACGACGUCAAGUCAUCAUGGCCCUUACGAGUAGGGCUACACACGUGCUACAAUGGCGUAUACAGAGGGCUGCAAACUAGCGAUAGUAAGCGAAUCCCACAAAGUACGUCGUAGUCCGGAUNGGAGUCUGCAACUCGACUCCANNAAGUNNNNNUCGC